rnacentral:rRNA from 1 species
GUUAUAUGGUCAAGUGAAGAAGCGCAUACGGUGGAUGCCUUGGCAGUCAGAGGCGAUGAAAGACGUGGUAGCCUGCGAAAAGCUUCGGGGAGUCGGCAAACAGACUGUGAUCCGGAGAUAUCUGAAUGGGGGAACCCAGCCAUCAUAAGAUGGUUAUCUUGUACUGAAUACAUAGGUGCAAGAGGCGAACCAGGGGAACUGAAACAUCUAAGUACCCUGAGGAAAAGAAAUCAACCGAGAUUCCCUUAGUAGUGGCGAGCGAACGGGGACCAGCCCUUAAGUUGUAUUGAGAUUAGCGGAACGUUCUGGAAAGGACGGCCAUAGUGGGUGAUAGCCCUGUACGCGAAAAUCCCUUUGCAAUGAAAUCGAGUAGGACGGGGCACGAGAAACCUUGUCUGAAUAUGGGGGGACCAUCCUCCAAGGCUAAAUACUACUGACUGACCGAUAGUGAACCAGUACCGUGAGGGAAAGGCGAAAAGAACCGCGGAGAGCGGAGUGAAAUAGAUCCUGAAACCGUAUGCGUACAAGCAGUGGGAGCCCACUUUGUUGGGUGACUGCGUACCUUUUGUAUAAUGGGUCAGCGACUUAUUUUCAGUGGCGAGCUUAACCGAAUAGGGGAGGCGUAGCGAAAGCGAGUCUUAAUAGGGCGUCUAGUCGCUGGGAAUAGACCCGAAACCGGGCGAUCUAUCCAUGGGCAGGUUGAAGGUUGGGUAACACUAACUGGAGGACCGAACCGACUACCGUUGAAAAGUUAGCGGAUGACCUGUGGAUCGGAGUGAAAGGCUAAUCAAGCUCGGAGAUAGCUGGUUCUCCUCGAAAGCUAUUUAGGUAGCGCCUCAUGUAUCACUGUAGGGGGUAGAGCACUGUUUCGGCUAGGGGGUCAUCCCGACUUACCAAACCGAUGCAAACUCCGAAUACCUACAAGUGCCGAGCAUGGGAGACACACGGCGGGUGCUAACGUCCGUCGUGAAAAGGGAAACAACCCAGACCGUCAGCUAAGGUCCCAAAGUCAUGGUUAAGUGGGAAACGAUGUGGGAAGGCUUAGACAGCUAGGAGGUUGGCUUAGAAGCAGCCACCCUUUAAAGAAAGCGUAAUAGCUCACUAGUCGAGUCGGCCUGCGCGGAAGAUGUAACGGGGCUCAAACCAUGCACCGAAGCUACGGGUAUCAUCUUAGGAUGAUGCGGUAGAGGAGCGUUCUGUAAGCCUGUGAAGGUGAGUUGAGAAGCUUGCUGGAGGUAUCAGAAGUGCGAAUGCUGACAUGAGUAACGACAAUGGGUGUGAAAAACACCCACGCCGAAAGACCAAGGUUUCCUGCGCAACGUUAAUCGACGCAGGGUUAGUCGGUCCCUAAGGCGAGGCUGAAAAGCGUAGUCGAUGGAAAACAGGUUAAUAUUCCUGUACUUCUGGUUAUUGCGAUGGAGGGACGGAGAAGGCUAGGCCAGCCUGGCGUUGGUUGUCCAGGUUUAAGGUGGUAGGCUGAGAUCUUAGGUAAAUCCGGGAUCUUAAGGCCGAGAGCUGAUGACGAGUGUUCUUUUAGAACACGAAGUGGUUGAUGCCAUGCUUCCAAGAAAAGCUUCUAAGCUUCAGGUAACCAGGAACCGUACCCCAAACCGACACAGGUGGUUGGGUAGAGAAUACCAAGGCGCUUGAGAGAACUCGGGUGAAGGAACUAGGCAAAAUGGCACCGUAACUUCGGGAGAAGGUGCGCCGGUGGAGGUGAAGCAUUUACUGCGUAAGCCCCUGCCGGUCGAAGAUACCAGGCCGCUGCGACUGUUUAUUAAAAACACAGCACUCUGCAAACACGAAAGUGGACGUAUAGGGUGUGACGCCUGCCCGGUGCCGGAAGGUUAAUUGAUGGGGUUAGCGCAAGCGAAGCUCUUGAUCGAAGCCCCGGUAAACGGCGGCCGUAACUAUAACGGUCCUAAGGUAGCGAAAUUCCUUGUCGGGUAAGUUCCGACCUGCACGAAUGGCGUAACGAUGGCGGCGCUGUCUCCACCCGAGACUCAGUGAAAUUGAAAUCGCUGUGAAGAUGCAGUGUAUCCGCGGCUAGACGGAAAGACCCCGUGAACCUUUACUAUAGCUUUGCACUGGACUUUGAAUUUGCUUGUGUAGGAUAGGUGGGAGGCUUUGAAGCGUGGACGCCAGUCUGCGUGGAGCCAACCUUGAAAUACCACCCUGGCAACUUUGAGGUUCUAACUCAGGUCCGUUAUCCGGAUCGAGGACAGUGUAUGGUGGGUAGUUUGACUGGGGCGGUCUCCUCCUAAAGAGUAACGGAGGAGUACGAAGGUGCGCUCAGACCGGUCGGAAAUCGGUCGUAGAGUAUAAAGGCAAAAGCGCGCUUGACUGCGAGACAGACACGUCGAGCAGGUACGAAAGUAGGUCUUAGUGAUCCGGUGGUUCUGUAUGGAAGGGCCAUCGCUCAACGGAUAAAAGGUACUCCGGGGAUAACAGGCUGAUACCGCCCAAGAGUUCAUAUCGACGGCGGUGUUUGGCACCUCGAUGUCGGCUCAUCACAUCCUGGGGCUGAAGCCGGUCCCAAGGGUAUGGCUGUUCGCCAUUUAAAGUGGUACGCGAGCUGGGUUUAGAACGUCGUGAGACAGUUCGGUCCCUAUCUGCCGUGGACGUUUGAGAUUUGAGAGGGGCUGCUCCUAGUACGAGAGGACCGGAGUGGACGAACCUCUGGUGUUCCGGUUGUCACGCCAGUGGCAUUGCCGGGUAGCUAUGUUCGGAAAAGAUAACCGCUGAAAGCAUCUAAGCGGGAAACUUGCCUCAAGAUGAGAUCUCACUGGAACCUUGAGUUCCCU